CCAAUAGCGUAUAUUAAAGUUGUUGCAGUUAAAAAGCUCGUAGUUGAACUUCGGGGUUUACCCAUUGGUCAGGCUUAAUUGUCUGUACUGGUGAGAUGAAUCUCUACCUUCUGAGGAACUUUCAUGCCAUUUAGUUGGUGUGAUAGGAAAUCAGGACUGUUACUUUGAAAAAAUUAGAGUGUUUAAAGCAGGCUAACGUCUGAAUACAUUAGCAUGGAAUAAUGAAAUAGGACGGAUUGGUUCUAUUUCGUUGGUUUCUAGGAUCACCGUAAUGAUUAAUAGGGAUAGUUGGGGGCAUUAGUAUUCAAUUGUCAGAGGUGAAAUUCUUGGAUUUAUUGAAGACUAACUAUUGCGAAAGCAUUUGCCAAGGAUGUUUUCAUUAAUCAAGAACGAAAGUUAAGGGAUCGAAGACGAUCAGAUACCGUCGUAGUCUUAACCAUAAACUAUGCCGACUAGGGAUCGGACGAAGUUAAUUUUAUAAUGACGCGUUCGGCACCUUACG
rnacentral:rRNA from 1 species